CUCGAUGAACAAUUGGCAAAAGGUAUAAAUGUGUGGACAUAUAAUUAUAUAUUAAUUAAAAAAUUAAGCUAAUUAAGCAAAAACUAAGCAGUCACUAGUCUUAUCAUUGCUUAAUUUUCCAUCACUUGUAUUACCCACGAAACCAAUCUCCAAAUUCUCACAAUAAACUCUUACAUUGAUGUGCCUUGCCCACCAUGUACCUGACUUAAAGGUAGUCCAAAGCGCAACCCUCAGGUUAAAACUCAGCUUCCGGUUGCUGCUGUUCCUAUCCUCUGUCAUCCUCUCCACCACCCGGCUCCCCACACCGGUCUGGCUGUGAUCUGAGUUAUCGGAUGCUAACUUCGCUUGCAUCACAGUGUCUUGUUUGGUUUCCAAUUGAAAGGGAUUGGCAAAAGACUUGGCAAGUAGGUUAUCUUCGUAGUACACGUUUACCUCUACCUGAUCAAAAUAUGCUUUGAGUUUGGUGUUAGGGUUCUUGACUGUGAUGUUAGCAUCCCAGUUAGCUUCGAAGCUAGAAGAGCUGGCGUUGAAGUUGGACACGGUGAAGGUGUCAACGUGGAAAAUGGGAAUUGCUGGUCGCAAGAUUAGCCAGAUGAUGAUGCUAGAUAUGCAAAUAAAGAUAAUAAAGAAAACUAAGCCGCCAACGAUCCCGCGGACGAAACCGGACGCUCUGUAUUCUGGUUGUGGCUGAUACAUAUCAGGGUUGUAAUAGCCGGCCGGCGGUGCUUGUGCAUAUAGGUAAUGACUGUUGUAUCCAUUGUUAUAGCCAGGAGGAGGAUAACCAGAUUGCCCCAGUGGAUAGCCCAUGGGAUGGUAACCCAUCGUCGGAGGAUAACCCGUUGCCGGAGAAUUUUCGGCUGGAGAAUGGUCGUUGCCAUCGGAGGAGGCUUGGCCGGAUUCUUUCUUGAGUUGGUGAUUUUGAUCAGAUUGAGAAGCAGCCAUUGGUUGAUUGAUGUAGUGAUUAUCUCUCUCAAUGACCCCGAGAGAGGGAGAAAGAGGUGUUUUGGGAUGGAAGCAAAAGGAAGAUAGAGAGAAGUGAAGGAAAAAGAUGGGCA
rnacentral:misc_RNA from 1 species